GAUGAACGCUAGCGACAGGCCUAACACAUGCAAGUCGAGGGGCAGCACAUGCGUAGCAAUACAAUGGUGGCGACCGGCGCACGGGUGAGUAACACGUAUGCAACCUACCUGUAAGAGGGGAAUAACCCGGAGAAAUUCGGACUAACACCGCAUAAUACCUCGAAGCUGCAUGGCUUUGAGGGUAAAUAUUUAUAGCUUACAGAUGGGCAUGCGUUCCAUUAGAUAGUUGGUGAGGUAACGGCUCACCAAGUCUUCGAUGGAUAGGGGUUCUGAGAGGAAGGUCCCCCACAUUGGUACUGAGACACGGACCAAACUCCUACGGGAGGCAGCAGUGAGGAAUAUUGGUCAAUGGGCGAGAGCCUGAACCAGCCAAGUAGCGUGAAGGAUGAAGGUCCUAUGGAUUGUAAACUUCUUUUAUAGUAGAAUAAAGUGAUCCACGUGUGGAUUUUUGUAUGUAUGCUAUGAAUAAGGAUCGGCUAACUCCGUGCCAGCAGCCGCGGUAAUAC
rnacentral:rRNA from 1 species